UUUAUACUGGGAUUAGAUACCCCACUAUGCCUAGCCGUAAAAAAUUAAUUCACACCAAUCACCGCCAGGAUAUUACGAGCGUACGCUUAAAACCCAAAGGACUUGACGGUGUCCCACCCACCUAGAGGAGCCUGUUCUAUAAUCGAUGAUCCUCGCUACACCCCACCACUUCUUGCCUAUCCGCCUGUAUACCGCCGUCGCAAGCCUACCAUGUGAAUGCCUCAAGUAGGUUCAAGGGCCCCACCAACACGUCAGGUCAAGGUGCAGCUUAUGAAGUGGGAAGAAAUGGGCUACAAUUUCUAAAUUAGAACAAACGAAAAACUAUGUGAAACCAUAGUAAUGAAGGUGGAUUUAGCAGUAAAAAGAAAAUAGCGGUCUACAGUCGAUCAG
rnacentral:rRNA from 1 species